UGGGGAGUUUGAUCCUGGCUCAGAUUGAACGCUGGCGGCAUGCCUUACACAUGCAAGUCGAACGGCAGCAUGAUCUAGCUUGCUAGAUUGAUGGCGAGUGGCGAACGGGUGAGUAAUACAUCGGAACGUGCCCUGUAGUGGGGGAUAACUAGUCGAAAGAUUAGCUAAUACCGCAUACGACCUGAGGGUGAAAGUGGGGGACCGCAAGGCCUCAUGCUAUAGGAGCGGCCGAUGUCUGAUUAGYUAGUUGGUGAGGUAAAGGCUCACCAAGGCGACGAUCAGUAGCUGKUCUGAGAGGACGAUCAGCCACACUGGGACUGAGACACGGCCCCACGASUCCUAYGGGAGGCAGCAGUGGGGAAUUUUGGACAAUGGGGGCAACCCUGAUCCAGCAAWGCCGCGUGUGUGAAGAAGGCCUUCGGGUUGUAAAGCACUUUUGUCCGGAAAGAAAUCGCACUUACUAAUAUUAGGUGUGGAUGACGGUACCGGAAGAAUAAGGACCGGCUAACUACGUGCCAGCAGCCGCGGUAAUACGUAGGGUCCAAGCGUUAAUCGGAAUUACUGGGCGUAAAGCGCACGCAGGA
rnacentral:rRNA from 1 species